rnacentral:tRNA from 1 species
GCGGGUAUAGCUCAGUGGUAGAGCGCAUGCCUAGUAUGUACCAGGUCCUGGGUUCAAUCUCCAGCACCUCCA